rnacentral:misc_RNA from 1 species
UGCUCUGCAUGUCGGUCCCCUGUGCAUCUGCGCAGCCGUCCGUCAUGGGGCCCGUCUCUUCAUUCUCCCUCCCGUGAGUCGGCACAUUUUGCCUGGGAGGGUUGCUGUCGUCGGCUUUGCCUGUGUGGUUCUACCCUCGUGGGUAAACUAAAUCGGUCCCGGUACGGAUGUAUGUGCUCGCCUUGUUGAUGAUUUUUUGUCGACAGGGCAGUCGAAUUGUUGGGGAAACCCUUGUGUGGUGCCACGACGGGAUGUUCGUGCUAACCACACUCGGGUGUCGUCGGCUCUUGCGGAUGUGGUGCCCAUAGCGAGUUUUGCGGGCCUCUGGUCCUCAGAUUUUGGGAGGUCCCUUGUACGGAUCAUUGCUUCGUCGCUCUCCCGUCAUGUUGGGUUUCUCAGCAUGUCGGAGCGGAGCGUGGGAUGCCUCUCUGACCGAAUGUGCAACGAUUGUCGGUUAGCGUCGUUAGAAGGGCCUCCCGUCCGGGUCGGUUCCGGAAACGACGCGCCGUCUCUCGUUUAAGAUGUGC